UACAGAGGGUGCAAGCGUUGAUCGGAAUUACUGGGCGUAAAGCGUGCGCAGACGGUUGCGUAAGUCAGAUGUGAAAGCCCCGGGCUCAACCUGGGAAUUGCAUUUGAGACUGCGUAGCUAGGGUGCGGAAGAGGGAAGCGGAAUUUCCGGUGUAGCGGUGAAAUGCGUAGAUAUCGGAAGGAACACCAGUGGCGAAGGCGGUUCUCUGGGACGGUACUGACGCUGAGACGCGAAAGCGUGGGGAGCGAACAGG
rnacentral:rRNA from 1 species